rnacentral:tRNA from 1 species
AAGUAAGAAGCAAAUAAUUGUAAUCAGUUUCGACCUGAUAGUAAGAUAUUUUA